UCCUCUUUCUUUUUCCCCUUGGCUAUUAUGAUUUUGCACUUAACUCGCUUCAUCCGCAAUCCUAAACCAGGUUGCAACAUCCGGUGAUUGCUUGCUUUACGUUGUCUAAAAAAUGUCAUCACUAAGGAACGAACUCAACCGCGAGUCUAAGCUUUUACCAUUAUUAUACCACUUUCUUCUGUUUUCAUAUUCAUAGAAAUCCUCACCUUGUGGCUUAUUCGUUAGGUCAUCGAGAAAUACAGGGACUACGUCGUCCCUGCCAAAGCCUUCCACAACAAGGAAGAGACGUUACGGAAACUCAAGGAGAAGGCUGUAUUCUGAAACCCAGAUGAAUUUUACUUUCAGAUGAUAAAAACGACAGCUGUGAAUGGAGUUCAUAAACCCGAGAAUCAGGUUAACAAAUACACUCGGAAGAACUCAUGUUAAUGAAGACCCAAGACAUAUUACAAAGUGAAAGGAAGGUACAAUGAAUGGUUUUUCGUUUAUCAAAGGGCUAUAUGAUAUUUCCUAUUAUUGAUACGAAUUUGUCCUGCUUCAGAAAGUUCUGUUGCAUUCUCUUGAUAUUCAUACAUCUAACGGACACAUUUACUAUGUUGAAAAUAGGUUUGGUUUCUUAACUUUUUUCUCCCUAGUUGGCUGGAAAGGAAUUCAGGAGCUGUCAUGUACAAGUGUAGGA